rnacentral:snoRNA from 13 species
CAGCAUUUGAUACUAACUGAGCUAUCUAUAUCUUAUCUUUGUGCCAAAGGCUUAUGAUGUGUUGUGAUAGCUGGUGUACGAAGUACAGUAUUAAAAUAAAGUUAUAAGUCUCUUAAUCCUGGUUGUAAAGAUACACCCUGAGUUAUAACUCAAAGUUACAACU